rnacentral:lncRNA from 1 species
CACACACACAUUCUUUUUCUCAUAUUAUCUUCCAUUAUGGUCUGUCCCAACAGACUGGAUAUAGUUAAAUUAUACAUGUGGCUCAUAUUGUAUUUCUAAUAGACAUCACUGGUCUAGAUUCACUAAGCUGGAUGUCUGGUUUCAUGGUUCCUUAGUUCUUGGAAUGCCAUUUUGAACUAGUCUUAAGGAGACUUCCACUCUGGAACCAGGUAAGAGAACCAGCCUCAGGUUUCAGGUUAGCCAGUCAUAACAUGUUUAUCAACUGAAAGAGCCCUGAGUUCCAUCUGGCUGAGAUUCCCCACACCAAUGAUGGAGACUAUUGAAAAAAAGCUGGGUUCAUUGAGAUUAAUAGUAAAUGUCCUCUAAACUGCCUUAUCUUAUUCUUAAUAACUGAUUGAGUGCAGAAAAUUUAGAUAAACCUUUUUAGACUUUCUUUCUGUGUUAUCUCUUAGCAAGGACAGGCAUUUGUCUGAUUCUUCAUUCUCAUUGCAACAAUAGUUCGUGUUUUCCCUACUCCAUAAAGUUCUUUUUUUCUUCUUCAGCCUUUCAGAGCAUUUAUUUAUCAUUCAAUACAUGUUAGGCACAGCUGCUGUUUAGUUUUGUGAAGUAUUUCUCGUCUCACCUGUAGGAAAACUCAGUCCCAUCUUGGAUUGCUUUGUACUUCAACCCAUGGAGCAAAUCUUAUACACAGAAGACUCUUGAUGAGUGCUUUGUUUCUGUGCUGCCCCUGCAUUACCUGGACACCUGUGCCUUGUAUUAUGUAUGAAAAACUCACAAAGAAAUUCUACUUUGAGACAUAUUUCUUGCUUGCAAGCCCACAAUGGGAGUGGGUGUCUUUCUUUCCUUGGAAGCAAUUCUGUUUUCUCUGCCCCCUCCCACACAGAACAUCAUUCCAUUCUUGAGUCAGAAUUCAAUGUUACCCAGGCAGACAAAGGGCAUCUCAGUCAGUCUCCCUGCCCUGUACCAAAAGCACUGAAAUGUUUUUCCAUUCUGUUGAUUUUGAAUUUUCCCUUGACUAGUAUAUCCACCUUCAGCAAGAAUGGUCAAAUGCACUAUUCACUUUUAAAGUGGUUGGUAACAUGCGUAUCUUCUAAAAUUUGUCAUCUCUGGUGGGUGUGUACACUUGGCUAAGGCUCGGUGUUCAUCUGAUGCUGAGAUUAGAUGUAGAAAUGUCAUUAGAUGUGUUGUCUGGCUUCACUUCAUUUUCUUAAUUAUAAACGAAAACCAAAUUUCAUCCUUCUUUGGCUAAAAAAAAAAAAAAAAA